rnacentral:misc_RNA from 1 species
AGCUCUGCCAUUACAUUCGCUGCAGAUGUUCACCUUGGUCGGGGUUGGCCUUGGCGAUGCGUCCGACGUCACCGUGAAGGGUAUGAACGCCGUCAAGGAGGCGGAUGUCGUUUUUCUAGAAGCCUACACCUCUUUCCUCAUCAACAGCAAUGCAGAGGAGCUGGCCGGCAUCUACGGCAAGCCAGUUAUUCUUGCGGACAGAGAGAUGGUGGAGAGUGGGGCUGUCCUGGACGACGCGAAGGUCAAGAAGGUAGUUCUUCUUGUCGUCGGCGACGUUUUCGGCGCGACAACGCAUUCGGAUCUGAUUGUGCGCUGCAACCGGCAGGGGAUCGAGAGCAAAGUCGUACACAAUGCCUCAAUCAUUAACGCUGUGGGUUGUUGUGGCCUGCAGCUCUACCGGUUUGGACAAGUGAUAUCUCUGUGCUUCUGGACAGAGACGUGGCGCCCAGACUCCUGGUACGAGCGCCUACGGAGCAACAGAGCUGCCGGCAUCCACACUCUGGUGCUCCUCGACAUCAAGGUAAAGGAGAUCUCUGACGAGAAUCUUGCGCGUGGGCGCAAGAUCUACGAGCCGCCGCGCUACAUGACGAUCAGGCAGGCCGUUGAGCAGAUCCUGGAGGUGGAGGGCUACAAGCAGGGUGGCGCUGUGGCCGCUGAUGGCUCGACUUUCGCGGUGGGUUUAGCGCGCGUCGGCUCCGAAUCGCAGCAAGUGGUAGCGGGGACGAUGAAGGACUUGCUCAGUGUCGACUUUGGCGCGCCGUUGCACUCGCUCGUCAUCGCCGGUGACGUACACGAUUGUGAGCAGGAGCACGUCGAUCUGUUUCGGAUGGCAGGGCAGUGAAGCUGCGUGAACUUGU